AGUGACAAAGAUGCGUGGUCCUAACUGUUCUGCAACACAAUCCCCACACAGACCAUGGCGUGUAUCCCUCCUGCUGUAAGGCUGUAACAAGGUCAGGGUGUUAGGAACCUGGAAGUAGCAGGAUGCUCUCAUGGCCCCAUGGGCUGUGGGAGGAAGGUCCCAGAAGAAGUAUAUUGUGCUCUCUACUGAGGAUCUGGAACUGCCAAGUCAUCACCUGUGAACCGUCUAUGACAAGGAGGAGCGAAACUGGCUUUGAAUUAACUGGAAUAUACAUCAGAGUGCCAUAAAGCUUUUGUCAAGUCUUGUAUCCCAUUAGUCCCUGUUGAAGAGGCAGCCUUAAAGACAGAGGAAUUGUUAAUGCUCUUGGGGAAAACUACUUCAGGAAUUACAAGCUUGUGACAUCAUGGUCAGAUUUCCGACUGGAACAACACAGAUUUUUGAGACAGUUUUGCAUCUUAAAGUCCAUGUCUCUGGAGGAUAGGAGGAGGAAAAUUCAGAGCCCAAGUAUUUGGAUCAAUUCAUCAUAUAGUUCAUGCUUCUCUUCCUAAAAGAGAAAUGGGAAAACUGAAAGCAUUUUAACCCUUUCAAAGUACUUACUUUCGUUUUCUUUGAAACUGAAUGUUUACUACAUUUUAGAAGGAUCAAUUUGUCUCCAAUGAAACCUCAGUUUGGGGCUUUGUAAACCGUUCAUUUAGCUGGGGAUCAAUUUCUGUUUUAAUAGGCUUAUCUGAGAAAAUUAUUAUCCUGUUGGUUUGGGUAGGAGGGGGAAUAUCUAUGUCUUGAGAAUGGAAAAAUCAGAUUUUUGAACAGCUUUAUUUCCAAUUGUCACUUUAAUUGCUGGAAAAUUCUACAAAUUUUUCUCAUGGCUUUUUGAAAAGCAGAACUGUUGCUUUGGAAAGAGCCUGAUAAGAAGGAAAUUUGUCUUGGCACAUAUUGCUUCUGACUCUGUAGUGCUGAAAAGUUAUUUUGCAAGAAGUUUUUGCCUUUCACAAAACUGGAAUGAAAUAUAGUCAAAGCACAGCUAUGUUUUG